GUGCCAGCCGCCGCGGUAAUACGGGGGUAGCGAGUGUUGUUCGGAUUUACUGGGCGUAAAGGGAGCGCAGGCGGUAAGGUAAGUCAGGAGUGAAAGGUUGGGGCUUAACCCCAAACCUGCUUUUGAUACUGUCUUGCUAGAGUAUGCGAGAGGAGGAUGGAAUUCUAGGUGUAGCGGUGGAAUGUGUAGAUAUCUAGAAGAACACCAAUUGCGAAGGCAGUUCUCUGGUGCAAUACUGACGCUCAAGCUCGAAAGCUAGGGGAGCAAACAGGAUUAGAUACCCUGGUAGUCCUAGCCCUAAACGAUGGACACUAGGUGUUGGGAGAGUCAACCCUCUCAGCGCCGAAGCUAACGCAUUAAGUGUCCCGCCUGGGGAGUACGGUCGCAAGGCUGAA
rnacentral:rRNA from 1 species